GUUAGGGAGCUACAUACCAUAUGCCGGUAGAAACAAAUUGAUGCUUCAAGGUCACUGUUCUGCCAAAUUCUGUGUGGACCUUCCUAAGCUAUCACCCAGUUUGUGUCUCUGCAGCACUCCUCCAACAGUAUCUUCCCUGGAUACUUUCACUAUCAAUAAGAAAACAGUGUCCUGGAAGAGCACUGGACUCCAUGAAAAUCGCUCUCCUUGUACAGUGAUCUGGAACCUUCUGCAAGUGUGCUAUGAAGGUUUGAAUAUGCUUGACACAUAGAAAGGCCUACUAUUAUGAGAUGCAGAGACCGGGGAGUUAGUGCAGGUCAUCAAAUAAUAGUAAAUGAAGAAUGAAUGAAGUCCAAGAUGUCUAGAGAAAAGAACACAGAUGAACAGAAAAAUCAUGCUCAAGAUUGCCUUUGGAGCUUCCCUGUGAACUACCAGAUAAGGCUGCAGCGGUGAUUUCUCUAGUUCAGAGCUAAGUAGUGCUACUUGACAAUAAAAAGUUUAGGACCUGGAGAUGAAAAGGGAGGGGGAAAAAGCAACCAUGAAUCAAAAUGAACAAGGACUCCUAACCUCUGUCCUUGCUCUGUGGCCCACAUGCCCAGUGUAGACACUAUUGCUACACAGCUGGGCUUUCAAGAGUUGCCUGCCAAUAUUGACAUUACCCCAUCCUAUGUAAGGAAAUCAAGGUGGACUGGUGAACAAUCACUUUCAAAGCUAAUUAUUAAACCUGCAGGUCAGAGCUCUC
rnacentral:lncRNA from 1 species